rnacentral:rRNA from 1 species
GACGAACGCUGGCGGCGUGCUUAACACAUGCAAGUCGAACGGAAAGGCCCUGCUUUUGUGGGGUGCUCGAGUGGCGAACGGGUGAGUAACACGUGAGUAACCUGCCCUUGACUUUGGGAUAACUUCAGGAAACUGGGGCUAAUACCGGAUAGGAGCUCCUGCUGCAUGGUGGGGGUUGGAAAGUGUCGGCGGUUGGGGAUGGACUCGCGGCUUAUCAGCUUGUUGGUGGGGUAGUGGCUUACCAAGGCUUUGACGGGUAGCCGGCCUGAGAGGUUGACCAGCCACAUUGGGACUGCGAUACGGCCCAGACUCCUACGGGCGGCAGCAGUGGGGAAUAUUGCACAAUGGGCGGAAGCCUGAUGCAGCAACCCCGCGUGCGGGAUGACGGCCUUCGGGUUGUAAACCGCUUUCGCCUGUGACGAAGCGUGAGUGACGGUAAUGGGUAAAGAAGCACCGGCUAACUACGUG